UACGUAGGGUGCGAGCGUUAAUCGGAAUUACUGGGCGUAAAGCGUGCGCAGGCGGUUUUGUAAGCCAGAUGUGAAAUCCCCGGGCUUAACCUGGGAAUGGCAUUUGGGACUGCAAGGCUUGAGUGCGGCAGAGGAGACUGGAAUUCCUGGUGUAGUGGUGAAAUACGUAGAUAUCAGGAGGAAUACCGGAGGCGAAGGCGGAUAGCUGGGCCAACACUGACGCUGAGACCCGAAAGCGUGGGGAUCAAACAGG
rnacentral:rRNA from 1 species